AACGUAGGUCCCGAGCGUUAUCCGGAUUUACUGGGCGUAAAGGGCGUUGAGGCGGUCGGGCAAGUCGGGCAUGAAAGCGCUCGGCUCAACCGGGCGAGGUUGUCCGAUACUGGCCGACUGGAGGGCAGGCGAGGGGGGUGGAAUUCCGGGUGGAGUGGUGAAAUGCGUAGAGAUCCGGAGGAACACCCGUGGCGCAAGCGGCCCCCUGGACUGCACCUGACGCUGACGCGCGAAAGCUAGGGGAGCGAACGGG
rnacentral:rRNA from 1 species